rnacentral:rRNA from 1 species
UACGUAGGGGGCGAGCGUUGUCCGGAAUUACUGGGCGUAAAGAGCUCGUAGGUGGUUUGUCGCGUUGUUCGUGAAAACCGGGGGCUUAACUCUCGGCGUGCGGGCGAUACGGGCAGACUGGAGUACUGCAGGGGAGACUGGAAUUCCUGGUGUAGCGGUGGAAUGCGCAGAUAUCAGGAGGAACACCGGUGGCGAAGGCGGGUCUCUGGGCAGUAACUGACGCUGAGGAGCAAAAGCGUGGGGAGCGAACAGG